GACGAACGCUGGCGGCGUGCUUAACACAUGCAAGUCGAACGGAAAGGCCCUGCUUUUGUGGGGUGCUCGAGUGGCGAACGGGUGAGUAACACGUGAGUAACCUGCCCUUGACUUUGGGAUAACUUCAGGAAACUGGGGCUAAUACCGGAUAGGAGCUCCUGCUGCAUGGUGGGGGUUGGAAAGUUUCGGCGGUUGGGGAUGGACUCGCAGCUUAUCAGCUUGUUGGUGGGGUAGUGGCUUACCAAGGCUUUGACGGGUAGCCGGCCUGAGAGGGUGACCGGCCACAUUGGGACUGAGAUACGGCCCAGACUCCUACGGGAGGCAGCAGUGGGGAAUAUUGCACAAUGGGCGGAAGCCUGAUGCAGCAACGCCGCGUGCGGGAUGACGGCCUUCGGGUUGUAACCCGCUUUCGCCUGUGACGAAGCGUGAGUGACGGUAAUGGGUAAAGAAGCACCGGCUAACUACGUG
rnacentral:rRNA from 1 species